rnacentral:antisense_RNA from 1 species
AGAGAGGCUUCCAGGACGGCGACGUUUAGGGGGCCUUUUUCUUUUGC